rnacentral:rRNA from 1 species
UUAAAGGCAUUGACGGAAGGUCACCACAAGGCAUGGAGCAUGCGGCUUAAUUUGACUCAACACGGGGUAACCUACCCGGCCCGGACACAGGAAGGAUUGACAGAUUAAGAGCUCUUUCUUGAUUCUGUGGGUGGUGGUGCAUGGCCGUUCUUAGUUGGUGGAGCGAUUUGUCUGGUUUAUUCCGAUAACGAACGAGAUCCUAUCCUACUAAAUAGGCGGUCGGGUCCAUCCAGCCCGACGAUCUUCUUAGAGGGACAGGCGGCGUCCAGCCGCACGAAACGGA